UUUUACCCAAAUAUGAGAUUACCCAAAAUCAGACUCACAUCCAACCCACACCCAAUCCAGACCCGAUCCGUUACUAUGAAAGGUUUUAGAGAAAUCCCUAAAAAUAAUCGCGUCUUUCUCACUCUCUCACUUCGUCACUGUCCCACUUCGUCACCCUCUCACUUCUCUAAAAAACCCCCUAAGAAGUAUCUUCAAAUCUCUGAUUCAAUAGUCAUGUGAAAAUUGUGGUUUUUGGAAGUGGGUGUCUUGGUCCAAAUAAACAAUUUGAAGGCUAAAUUGGAAGUGGCUAUGGUGAAAAUGGACACUGAGAGAGAUUCGUUGAAUGGGGUUAAGAUUGAAAGAGAUGAUUUAAAGCAAAAAUUGAAGCGUUUAGAGGCUUUAAACUACUCUGAGGUGAACAAGUUCAGAAAUUUGGAAGAAAAAUUAUUGAAGAUGAAGAUGUUGCUUAUUAUUUCGUUUGUUGUUUUUGUCGGAUUGUUGGUUGCAAUUUUCAAGUGAUGAACAUGAAUGUACAUUCAAGUAUUGCACCGCUUGUGGUAUUCAGUUCAUCCCAGUUAACUACAUGAUUUUGCAGCCUUCAAGACUAUCUAGUAUUUCAACAACCUCCGCAAGAAGACAGGAAGCCUUCAGUAGUUGUUUCACCUAGUAGGUGCUAAAUGAUGUAUAGACUAGAAGUGAAGUUUAAAAUCAGUCUAGGUGAAAUGCUCUAUUGCAGUCACUGAAGUGGAGCAGAGGUGCUCCCAACAAGAAGGAUACUAAUAGCAUAGACCACUUUGUGCUGGUUAACUAAGUCAUUUGGUUCUACAGAGGUACUAGAUGAGUUAUAAUACUGAGAACUUUUGAAAUUAUAUUAUGCUGGAAUACAUGGAUAAACUUUACCGCUGAAAAAUACAGAUGGAAAAUUGUCCUAGCGACCAUUUGGACUAUUUGAAAGGAAAGAAAUUAUGGAGCACUCUACAGAAGAUUAAGAUGAAUUGCGUUCUUUACUUUAGUUUUUGGUGUAAAUCAGAAUUCAUAGCUGAUCCUGGAACAAUCCUGGAUAUUUAAAAGUUCCUAGUAAGAAGAACAAAGAUUGUUUUCUGUUUUCUCUUGAUGUAACUCUCUUAUUUUGGCUUAAAAGUUCCUUGUAAGAAGAACAAGGUUGUUUUCUGUUUUCUCUUGAUGUAAAUCUCUUAUUUUGGCUUCCA